rnacentral:lncRNA from 1 species
AUCAACCCAACAAUGUUAGAUCUGUAAAUUUGCUUUCGCAAAUUUUUGGUUCUUCCCUCGCCGGGAUUCGAACCCAUGCUACUGUGAUAUCGUGACACCAAAUCGCCUGCACUGCAGCCGUCCCGCUAGACCACACGACCACCUGGGCUCUCAAUAUAUAUAAAAGACUAUGUGGUAUGAUUGCCAAUGAGACAACUCUCAACAAGACACCAAAUGACACAGAAAUUAACAACUAUAGGGAAUCGUACGGCCUUUAACAAUGAGCAAAGCCCAUACCGCAUAAUCAGCUAUAAAAGGCCCCGAAAUGACAAAUGUAAAAGAAUUUAAACGAGAAAACUAACGGCAUUAUUUAUGUACAAAAAAUGAACGAAGAACAAAUACUGGUAUGUAACACAUCAACAGACGACAACCACUGAAUUACAGGCUCCUGACUUGGGACAGGUGCAUAUUCGUAUGGGAACAUGUUAAUG